GCCUUAAUGCAGCUCCCCCAAAGGGGGAACGGUCACAAGCCCGUGGAAAUGCAGAGUGAGGC
rnacentral:ribozyme from 2 species